rnacentral:misc_RNA from 1 species
UACGGAAGGUGCAAGCGUUGUUCGGAAUUACUGGGCGUAAAGAGCACGUAGGUGGGUGAGAAAGUUGGAUGUGAAAUCCCAGGGCUUAACCUUGGAAUUGCACCCAAAACUACUCAUCUUGAAUACUUGAGGGGUUGGCGAAAUUCCUGGUGUAGGAGUGAAAUCCGUAGAGAUCAGGAGGAAUACCGGAGGCGAAGGCGGCCAACUGGCAAGAUAUUGACACUGAGGUGCGAAAGCGUGGGGAGCAAACAGG